AAGAACAACAGGGAUUACCUCAGUAACGGCGAGUGAAGCGGUAACAGCUCAAAUUUGAAAUCUGGCCUCACGGUCCGAGUUGUAAUUUGUAGAGGAUGCUUCGAGCAUGGUCUGGCCUAAGUUCCUUGGAACAGGACGUCAUAGAGGGUGAGAAUCCCGUAUGCGGUCAGGUGCCUACGCUCAUGUGAAGCUCCUUCGUCGAGUCGAGUUGUUUGGGAAUGCAGCUCAAAAUGGGUGGUAAAUUUCAUCUAAAGCUAAAUAUUGGCCAGAGACCGAUAGCGCACAAGUAGAGUGAUCGAAAGAUGAAAAGCACUUUGGAAAGAGAGUUAAACAGUACGUGAAAUUGUUGAAAGGGAAGCGCUUGCAACCAGACUUGCGUGCGGCCGAUCAUCCGGUGUUCUCACCGGUGCACUCGGCCGUGCUCAGGCCAGCAUCGGUUUUGGCGGCUGGAUAAAGGCCCCAGGAAUGUGGCUCCUCUCGGGGAGUGUUAUAGCCUGGGGUGCAAUGCAGCCUGCUGGGACCGAGGACCGCGCUUCGGCUAGGAUGCUGGCGUAAUGGUUGUAAGCGGCCCGUCUUGAAACACGGACCAAGGAGUCUAACAUCUAUGCGAGUGUUUGGGUGUCAAACCCAUACGCGUAAUGAAAGUGAACGGAGGUGAGAACCCUUAAGGGUGCAUCAUCGACCGAUCCUGAUGUCUUCGGAAGGAUUUGAGUAAGAGCAUAGCUGUUGGGACCCGAAAGAUGGUGAACUAUGCCUGAAUAGGGUGAAGCCAGAGGAAACUCUGGUGGAGGCUCGCAGCGGUUCUGACGUGCAAAUCGAUCGUCAAAUUUGGGUAUAGGGGCGAAAGACUAAUCGAACCAUCUAGUAGCUGGUUCCUGCC
rnacentral:rRNA from 1 species